UACAGAGGGGGCAAGCGUUGUUCGGAAUUACUGGGCGUAAAGGGCGCGUAGGCGGCCUUCUAAGUCGAACGUGAAAUCCCUGGGCUCAACCCAGGAACUGCGUCCGAUACUGGGAGGCUUGAAUCCGGGAGAGGGAUGCGGAAUUCCAGGUGUAGCGGUGAAAUGCGUAGAUAUCUGGAGGAAUACCGGUGGCGAAGGCGGCAUCCUGGACCGGCAUUGACGCUGAGGCGCGAAAGCCAGGGGAGCAAACGGG
rnacentral:rRNA from 1 species